rnacentral:rRNA from 1 species
UUGGAGGGCAAGUCUGGUGCCAGCAGCCGCGGUAAUUCCAGCUCCAAUAGCGUAUAUUAAAGUUGUUGCAGUUAAAAAGCUCGUAGUUGAAUUUCGGGAUCAAUUUAUCGGUCGUGCCUACGGUAUGAACUGGUACAAUUGGUUUCUCCCUUCUGACGAAGCAUGAUGUCAUUAAUUUGGUGUCGUGGGGAAUCAGGACUGUUACUUUGAAAAAAUUAGAGUGUUUAAAGCAAGCAUUAGCUUGAAUACAUUAGCAUGGAAUAAUGAAAUAGGACGUUUGAUCCUAUUUCGUUGGUUUCUAGGAUCGACGUAAUGAUUAAUAGGGAUAGUUGGGGGCAUUAGUAUUCAAUUGUCAGAGGUGAAAUUCUUGGAUUUAUUGAAGACUAACUACUGCGAAAGCAUUUGCCAAGGAUGAUUUCAUUAAUCAAGAACGAAAGUUAGGGGAUCGAAGACGAUCAGAUACCGUCGUAGUCUUAACCAUAAACUAUGCCGACUAGGGAUCGGAUGAUGUUAAUUUUUUAAUGACUCAUUCGGCGCCUUACGGGAAAC